rnacentral:tRNA from 1 species
GCCGAAGUGGUGGAAUUGGUAGACACGCUAUCUUGAGGGGGUAGUGGGCACCGCCCGUGCUGGUUCGAGUCCAGUCUUCGGCA